rnacentral:rRNA from 1 species
ACAUCCAGCGAAUUCGGUAGAGAUACCUUAGUGCCUUCGGGAACGCUGAGACAGGUGCUGCAUGGCUGUCGUCAGCUCGUGUUGUGAAAUGUUGGGUUAAGUCCCGCAACGAGCGCAACCCUUAUCCUUUGUUGCCAGCGGUCCGGCCGGGAACUCAAAGGAGACUGCCAGUGAUAAACUGGAGGAAGGUGGGGAUGACGCCAAGUCAUCAUGGCCCUUACGAGUAGGGCUACACACGUGCUACAAUGGCGCAUACAAAGAGAAGCGACCUCGCGAGAGCAAGCGGACCUCAUAAAGUGCGUCGUAGUCCGGAUUGGAGUCUGCAACUCGACUCCAUGAAGUCGGAAUCGCUAGUAAUCGUAGAUCAGAAUGCUACGGUGAAUACGUUCCCGGGCCUUGUACACACCGCCCGUCACACCAUGGGAGUGGGUUGCAAAAGAAGUAGGUAGCUUAACCUUCGGGAGGGCGCUUACCACUUUGUGAUUCAUGACUGGGGUGAAGUCGUAACAAGGUAAGCGUAGCGAG